GAUAGCUGCCUGUCCUCUAUUACAGGCAAAGAGAAUGAGCGACAGAGAGGCUAUUACGCAGACCUCGACAAGCAGAAUUGGCACCUCGUAACCGUCAGAAGAAAAAAGAUGUGGGGCACCACGCUGUUGCUAAUGUCCAAGUCGCGAAGGGUGAUCGCGACUUGGCCUGAGACGUUUAUGAUGAUGUCCCCGAGCAGGCCGACACCCCGCAUGAACGGGAUGCACGCCAGGAAGAUCCAACACUACAGCAGGAGGUUUCGAUCCCCGAAUAUUGGGAUGUCCCCUCACAUAUUCUUGCGGUCUUUGACCAAACAGAUGUGAUUGAUGCGGUUGGUGAUUUGGGCUCUAGAGUGUGCCCUCCAGAAGGCGACCAUGAGGCACUAGUGCCUAUGGUGCGUGUAGAUGAGACCAGCCUAGUGCUCAUCCCUCCUCUACAGCGGCAUAACAUCGAGUUGCGUGAGCAGGUAACUGAGUUACGUGAGCAAGUUACUGAGUUGCGAGGCCAGGUUACCGAGUUGUAAGGGCAGGUUACCGAGUUGCCUGGGCAGUGUACCACCAUCUCCCAGCAAUCCGACUUGUAUAGGGAAAAGAGUUAACAAAAACACGCCGACAUACUACAGCAGUUUGUAGAGGUACUUUGGCGUUUAGAUGUGCAUGCACUCAUGCACUACUCAAGUGCGGGAUCUUUUACGCCCACUACCUCUCCAGUAUCAAGUUGACCACAGACAUCACCUACUAUUGCUCCUAGUGAUCAAAUCAUAGGGGCAGACCCCGUAGAUCAAUACCUAUCAAUGUUCCGACAGAUAGUGAUCUGAUUCCUCUACCCGAAGGGAGCAAACGUAAGGUCCAAGAACCAUUUACUCCCCUUAUUCUGAAGAAGGUUUGCACCAUGAAAGUACGGAGUUAACUGGAAAGGAUAAGAGGCUUCUUAUUCUUAAUGUAAAUGGAAUUCUCGCGAAUAUCGUUUAUGCGGCAGAUGGGCGAGACCUUGAUCAAAAGCCAGAUUUCAGAAGUUUGAUAAU